rnacentral:rRNA from 1 species
AGAGUUUGAUCCUGGCUCAGGAUGAACGCUGGCGGUAUGCUUAACACAUGCAAGUCGAACGGUGUCUUCGGACAUAGUGGCGGACGGGUGAGUAACGCGUGAGAAUCUGCCUUCAGGUUGGGGACAACAAUUGGAAACGAUGGCUAAUACCGGAUGAGCCCUUGGGUAAAAGAGAAAUUGCCUGGAGAAGAGCUCGCGUCUGAUUAGCUAGUUGGUGAGGUAAAAGCUCACCAAGGCAGCGAUCAGUAGCUGGUCUGAGAGGAUGACCAGCCACACUGGGACUGAGACACGGCCCAGACUCCUACGGGAGGCAGCAGUGGGGAAUUUUCCGCAAUGGGCGAAAGCCUGACGGAGCAAGACCGCGUGAGGGAGGAAGGCUCUUGGGUUGUAAACCUCUUUUCUUGGGGAAGAACAAAAUGACGGUACCCAAGGAAUCAGCAUCGGCUAACUCCGUGCCAGCAGCCGCGGUAAUACGGAGGAUGCAAGCGUUAUCCGGAAUUAUUGGGCGUAAAGCGUCCGCAGGUGGCCUUUCAAGUCUGCUGUCAAAGACCGGGGCUUAACCCUGGAAAGGCAGUGGAAACUGGGAAGCUAGAGUAUCGUAGGGGUAGAGGGAAUUCCUGGUGUAGCGGUGAAAUGCGUAGAGAUCAGGAGAACAUCGGUGGCGAAAGCGCUCUACUGGACGAUAACUGACACUCAGGGACGAAAGCUAGGGGAGCGAAUGGGAUUAGAUACCCCAGUAGUCCUAGCCGUAAACGAUGGAUACUAGGUGUGGCUUGUAUCGACCCGAGCCGUGCCGUAGCUAACGCGUUAAGUAUCCCGCCUGGGGAGUACGCGCGCAAGCGUGAAACUCAAAGGAAUUGACGGGGGCCCGCACAAGCGGUGGAGUAUGUGGUUUAAUUCGAUGCAACGCGAAGAACCUUACCAGGAUUUGACAUCCCGCGAAUUCCCUUGAAAGGGGGAAGUGCCUUCGGGAGCGCGGAGACAGGUGGUGCAUGGCUGUCGUCAGCUCG